UACGGAGGGUGCAAGCGUUAUCCGGAUUUAUUGGGUUUAAAGGGUACGUAGGCGGUGGAGUAAGUCAGUGGUGAAAGCCAACAGCUCAACUGUUGAACUGCCAUUGAUACUGCUUCACUUGAGUGCAGUUGAGGUGGGUGGAAUUCCAUGUGUAACGGUGAAAUGCUUAGAUAUAUGGAGGAACACCGAUAACGAAGGUAACUCACUAAACUGUAACUGACGCUGAAGGUACGAAAGCGUGGGGAGCAAACGGG
rnacentral:rRNA from 1 species